UACGGGGGGGGCAAGCGUUGUUCGGAAUUACUGGGCGUAAAGGGCUCGUAGGCGGCCAACUAAGUCGGAUGUGAAAUCCCCAGGCUUAACCUGGGAACUGCAUCCGAUACUGGAUGGCUUGAAUUCGGGAGAGGGAUGCAGAAUUCCAGGUGUAGCGGUGAAAUGCGUAGAUAUCUGGAGGAAUACCGGUGGCGAAGGCGGCAUCCUGGACCGACAUUGACGCUGAGGAGCGAAAGCGUGGGUAGCAAACAGG
rnacentral:rRNA from 1 species